GCCAUUGCCAUGUUUUUCUCUUCUUCCCCUCUAAUCUAUCACCAACGAAAUCUUCGCCAUUCUCUACGACAGCAUUUUCUCUUCUAUUCAAUUCAAUUCAAUUAUCAUUAUUACUCCAUACCUUCAUCAUCACUCAAAAUUAAAUAAAAAAGGAAAAUUAAUUAAGCAAUCAAUUAAUAAAGUAAUUAAUAUUCCAACUUUCUCUCUCGUUUUCCGGGAAAAUUUAACUACGCCGAAUUUUCCCAGAAACGAGAGAGGCGGGUACGGGAUCAUGGUAGUGAGGCUCUGAAGAUAGAGAAGAAUUUGAGAGAGAGAGAGCAGCAUGGAAGAAGAGUUUGAUAAGGUUCAAGUUUCAGACCCGUCUAUGUGCGGGGAUGAUCAUAAUGAAAUUGAUCUUGAUUAUGAAUUCGACGCUCCUCGGUUCUUCGAUUUCACCCGGCCGGAGACGUUUUGGGAUGCUGAUGAAGCACAACAAUGGUUCGAAUUCGCCGCGAGUUACCCGCCUUCACCGUUUCUGGAGAAGUUGAGAUGGGGAAAUGCUGGUGCAAUGGAAAAUGUGAAUAUUGUUGCUAAUGAUGAUUCUGGUCCUUGUGUGAAUCCAGAACAAGGACUUGAAUAUUGCAAUGCAACAAUGCAAGAUACGUUAAAUGGUAACACAAAGCUUCUCAGCAAGUCAAGUUCUUUAAAAUCUAAAGUUUUCACUUUCAUGAAACCAACAGCAAGUCAUUUAGCCAAGCAGAAGAAUGCUCCAGAAGUCCAACCCCCUCGAUAUUUCAGAAGGCUUCAGAAACAGAAUUCUUCCAUAGAUGGAGAAUUGACCAAAAGACAGAAGCUUGAAGCUGGUUACUUGCAAAAGGUUGCUCGUCUUAAGCAUCAAACUCUCUUUACACAUAAGAAAACCAAGGAGGUUGAUCGUAAGCCAAACGUUACUAUUCCUAGAGAACCUAAUUUGGUAACAGCCAGCAGGGCACAAAGACACAAGUCUAGAACUAAUGUUGAGUCAGUUAAACAUACAAAAUCAAGUUCUCGGGUGAUUAAAGCACAAUCCUUAAGUAAAAAGGUUUUGGAGGGUCUGGCACAACCCUUUCGCAAGAUGAAAACACCACAACCAACAGAAUUUCAAGUAUUCCACUUGAAAACAUCAGAGAGGGCACUGCAGCACGCAGCAUCUAGUAAUGCCGGAGGUACAUUGAAUUGCAAUUCUCUCUCAAAUAGUGAAACAAAGGAUCUCAAAAGGACAAAAUCUAGUGUUGGCUCAAGGCAGGAAAAAUGUAAAAUGAUUAGCAAACUCCGAGGUAGCCUUGAUGAUAGGAAACUCUCAAGUAAAAGGGAAAGAGGAGUCUUCAGAAAUAUCAAAGUAUUUCCAGUGGAACCAAAUGACGAGAGAUUUGAAAAUGAACUACCAACUGAAUUAUUUAGCAAGCUAUCCCUGGCUUCUGAAGCCAAAAAAACAACAAAAUCACCAUCAGUGGAGCAGCCAAUUUCUAAGGGUUUGAAGGAGAAUAGACCAGAAUCCUUGCGGCAGAAGCAUGAGGUAUGUUAGGAAGAUGAAUUUGAUCAGAGAAGAAAUUCAGAGACUAUGCACGAAGCAGUAUCAAUGUGAGUGAAAUGGGCUCUCUCAUGCCAAACCAAACCUGUAUGCUGGAACUUGGACAUUAGCUGAAAACAAGUGGUGGUUCUUCUGAUUGGUAUUCAUUAGUCUAGAUACAUUUUGCUUAAAAUUCUAUAAAAAAAUCCCCUCAAUAAUUGGAUACUCAACUGUAAGUUAUAUUGGAAACCAUCCCAAAGGGUUCUUGGGAAAUGAUUCUAAAGCAAAAAGAUUAUUUAGGGAAGAAUUUCUAAGAUGGAACCUAAUACCUUCAUUGCACAACAAAGCUUCAGACUCUUGGAAUUUCUUCCUCUUUUCCUUUUCUAUCAAGCUGUGUAUAAAGAAUGGUACCAAAUGUAAUAUCAAUGUGGUCAAGUUUGAGGAAUAAAAAUACUAGUAAAUUGCUGCUGGC